rnacentral:rRNA from 1 species
GGGCUUGACAUCCCACGAACCUGCCCGAAAAGGUGGGGUGCCCGCAAGGGAGCGUGGAGACAGGUGGUGCAUGGCUGUCGUCAGCUCGUAUCGUGAGAUGUUGGGUUAAGUCCCGCAACGAGCGCAACCCUCACCCCUAGUUGCCACCGGGUUAAGCCGAGCACUCAAGGGGAACUGCCAGCGUCAAGCUGGAGGAAGGCGGGGAUGACGUCAAGUCAUCAUGCCCCUUACGCCCUGGGCUACACACGUGCUACAAUGGCCAGUACAAAGGGACGCGAGACUGCGAAGUGGAGCUAAUCCCAAAAAGCUGGUCUAAGUUCAGAUUGCAGUCUGCAACUCGACUGCAUGAAGGAGGAAUCGCUAGUAAUCGCGCAUCAGCCCGGCGCGGUGAAUUCGUUCCCGGGCCUUGUGCACACCGCCCGUCACACCACGAAAGCUGUCUGUACUCGAAGUCGCUGAG